UGUAUCUGGUCGUCGUCCAUCGGAAAAAAGGUGUGACGUGGAGCUGCUGUCCGGGUAUUCGGAACCGCGUGCUAUGGACGGAUCUACGCUUCAAAUAAUUCAUGAAUGAGAGUAAUGGAAAAGAUACUGAGCAACUAAUAAUGUAAUGCUUGAAAGUUGGAAGCACGGUUCGUUGGGUUUACGGGCGUGUGCUGGUCCUUCGCCGCGUGUACGUGCACGCGAAUCGUCAGAGAAAAGGUUGACGAAGGUGCGAGCAUGUGGAUGUGUUCAGGGUGAGUGCAGCUCAGGAAUUCCAUAAAAACCUUCCACUGUCUCUACGCACUUUAAAUAUAUCGAAACUGUCCACUAGGCUGAAACGCGUCUUCUUUAUCAUGCCCCGUGUUACGAAGUUACUUUCUCAUGAGAUCAGGACCUUUUACAUUAAUACGUUUCAUGAGAAAUUCAGCGAUUCGCUUUUGUCAUAUCGUACCGAUGUUAAAAAAUGAAAGAAUGCUUUUGUAUAUGAUAAGAAACUUAGAGCGGCACGUGUCCAGGGAUUAAAUUUACAUGCAAACCGUAAGGGAGAUGCCGUAUUAGAAAAUAAUGUUCGGUCGCUGGGGAGUUUGAAUAUUGUAGGGUUUCUUGGGUGGGAAAUGGUAUUUGGAUGUUUUUAGUAGUCUCUUAAAUUUAUUUAGCUUUCAAGUUCUUAUUUAUGGUUAAUUAUAUUAGUAGAAAUAUGAAUUAUUAUUGUAUUUUUGAGUAUAUACAUGUAUAUGUAUUUACAAACAAUACAUUAUUAAUAUUUAUUUAUAUUAUUGAAAAUUAUUUGGGAGAGUUUAUACUUUUUAAGAAAUUUUGUUUGUCUAUACAGCAAGCAAAAAAGUAAUGGGGAUUUCAAAAAGUUGAGUCUAAUUUUAAAGGAUGAUGCCUUGAGAAUUAUUCAUGAAACAGCCAACACUUAUCCUGUGUAAAAUAAUGGAGUAAAGAAUAAUAUAUUAUUUGAUAUAUGCUCAAUAACGUGCAGUAUUGUUAUAAUCGAUUGAUACUGUUCAAUCACAGUUAUGUUAUUACAAUUCCUAUCUUCUAUAAAGGACUUAAUUUGCAAAUUGUCAAUUGUGAUAUACAUGCUUGUCCAUUAGAUGCAAACUUUGUGGCCGUAUUGCGGAGAAACAGUGCUUAUUAAUUAUGUCAUGGUUUAUCGCCUCCAUAAUUAUAGUUCUCUGUCCAAAGAGGAUGGAUGCUUGUCUAGUAAUUAACGUUACGGUCGACGAGAGAAAAUUAUAGAUACGGGUCAUUCGAAUCAUCAAUUAUAUUGUUUAAUUAUAAUAAUAAUAUUCUAAUACUACGUUGAAUUAGUGUAUUGUGAUUAUUAUCAUCAUUGAAUUUCGUCCAGUCGUGUUUCUGUUUUAACAAACGUACAUGACUUUCUCACUACAUAUGAUACAAGUUUUAAAUGGAAUGUAUUAAAAGUUUGAUAAAUUAGUAAGACGUUAAAAUAUCAUAUAAAGAAGACACUAAUUCUGUUCCAAAUUCUACGUGAAUGUAUACCUUUUAAAAAAUAAAAGACUGUUACAUCCUAGAA